AACUAAAAGAGUUAAUAUUAAUUGUCACGAAGUUGGGGGAGCUAGUUAUUAUAUAUUUAUAGAUACCAACGUGUUGCAUAAUUUAGUAAAUAAUAAUUAGGAGUGAUAGGCUUAUCAUACUUAACGAUAACUUGAUGAUUUAGAAAUGUACUAGUACAUAUACACUCUUGAAGUGAUAAGGUUUUAAGAGAAUAAUAAAUAUCUUUCAAAAUUAUGUAUUCUGUUUAAUCAUUAAUACAUUAAUAAUAUAAUAUUACUUUACAAUAAUUGUUUAGCUUAUAAAUCAAUAGAAUUAAUAUAUAUAUAUAUAUAUAAUGUUAAUAUUAGUACCAAAGAGAUAUUAAUAAUGAACUCGGCAAUAAGUCUUUCAACUGUUUAUCAAAAACAUAGCUAUAUGAAUAAAUAUAUAGUGUUUUCUGCUCAAUGAAUCUUUUAAAUAGCCGCAGUACCCUGACUGUGCUAAGGUAGCGCAAUCAAUUGACUUUUAAAUGAAGUCCAGUAUGAAAGAAAUUAUGGGAGGCUACUUUUUCAUUAAUAAUAAAGGAAUUUACUUAUAAAGUGCAAAUUCUUUAAUAUAAAUAAUAGACGAGAAGACCCUAGAAAUUUUAUAGAAAUUACUUUUUGUUGGGGCAACAAAGUAGCAUAAUUAAUCUACUAUAAUGACAUGCACGUUAUAUCUUGAAAGAUUAAAUUACUCUAGGGAUAACAGCAUAAUUUGUGAAAGUUUGUGACUCGAUGUUGGACUAGGAAUUUACGUUUAGAAG
rnacentral:rRNA from 1 species